rnacentral:rRNA from 1 species
UUAUAUGGUCAAGAAGAGAAGCGCAAACGGUGGAUGCCUUGGCAGUAAGAGGCGAAGAAGGACGUGGAAUCCUGCGAAAAGCUAUGGGGAGCUGGAAACGAGCGUUGAGCCAUAGAUGUCCGAAUGGGGGAACCCGGCUGCAGCGAUGCGGUCAUUUGCAUUUGAAUACAUAGGAUGCAAAGGCGAACUCGGGGAACUGAAACAUCUAAGUACCCGAAGGAAAAGAAAUCAAGAGAGAUUCUCCAAGUAGCGGCGAGCGAACGGGGAGGAGCCUGGCGUGAUUUAUUAUUGAACUGAGUAGAACAAUUUGGGAAAGUUGGCGAUAGAGGGUGAAAGCCCCGUAUACGAAGGUUUGAUGAGGAACUAGGCACGCGAACAAGUAGGCCGGGACACGUGAAAUCCUGGUUGAAGAUGGGUGGACCAUCAUCCAAGGCUAAAUACUACUUACUGACCGAUAGUGAACCAGUACCGUGAGGGAAAGGUGAAAAGAACCCCGGAGAGGGGAGUGAAAUAGAAUCUGAAACCGUUUGCGUACAAGCAGUGGGAGCAUGGUUUAGGCUGUGUGACUGCGUACCUUUUGUAUAAUGGGUCAGCGAGUUAC